GAGUUCGGACCAGCGGUGGAGCAUGUGGUUUAAUUCGAUAAUACGCGAGAAACCUUACCAAUUCUUGAAAUUUUUUAAGAUUUUCAUAUUUUUAAAAGAAUAAUUUAAAACAGGUGUUGCAUGGCUGUCGUCAGCUCGUGUCGUGAGAUGUUUUGGUUAACUCCUUAAUAACGAGCGAAAACCCUUGUCUUUAUUUAAUUUUAAUAAACGUUUUAUUAAUAAUAUUUAUAAAGAAACUGCCAGUGAAAAUUGGAGGAAGAGGAGGAUUACGUCAAGUCUUCAUGGCCCUUAUGAAUUGGGCUACACAUGUGCUACAAUGGUUAUACAAGAGAAGCUAAUAUGUAAAUAUAAGCAAAACUUUAAAGUAAAUCUU
rnacentral:rRNA from 1 species